UAUUUUAUUUUUUUAUUCUCGAAAUCUUGCAGUAUGCCUGUCACGGAAUACCGACCCCCACAGAAGGACAAAUGAGUGAGAUGCAAUCAUUUGAAGUAAUGAAACAAAAGCUGUUCAAUGAGCCUCUGGAGAGGUGAAAGGAGAAAGAGAAAGGCCUCAGGCUAAAGACAUUAUGGCUGGGAAACUCACGGUUUUGAUGCAGCCUGGGCAUUUGGUAAAUGUCAAUGAAAGAUACACACAGUGAGAAGCCGCUUCAGGAAUCACACUGAGAGAUUUCACUGGACGGGAAGCAGAGCAUCCAAACAAUGAGGCUGUAGCAAGCAGGAAAAAGCACAAAAUGUUGUUCUUCCAGCUAAUUCUGCACACAGAGAAAGAUGUCAACACACGUCAAAACUGCAACCGCGUUUGAGAAGACACGCGGAACUCUGCAAAUGCCAUCGCUGUUUGCAGAGCUCGAGCUGCAGAGAAGUCGUAUGCUUUUCAAUCUGUUUUUUUAUUUUUACUCUUCUGCUGUUUUAAAAUAAACCGGGUAAUUCUGGUUCUUGGCUUUUGAAUGUG
rnacentral:lncRNA from 1 species